rnacentral:tRNA from 3 species
GCCCUUGUAGCUCAACGGUAGAGCAGAGGACUCAUAAUCCUUUGGUUGGGGGUUCGAAUCCCUCCGAGGGCA